GAUGAACGCUGGCGGCGUGCCUAAUACAUGCAAGUCGAGCGAACAGACGAGGAGCUUGCUCCUCUGACGUUAGCGGCGGACGGGUGAGUAACACGUGUAUAACCUACCUAUAAGACGGGGAUAACUUCGGGAAACCGGAGCUAAUACCGGAGAAUAUACUGAACCACAUGGUUCAAUAGUGAAAGACGGUUUUGCUGUCACUUAUAGAUGGAUCCGCGCCGCAUUAUCUAGUUGGUAAGGUAACGGCUUGCCAAGGCAACGAUGCGUAGCCGACCGGAGAGGGUGAUCGGCCACCCUGGAACUGAGACACGGUCCAGACUCCUACGGGAGGCAGCAGUCGGGAAUCUUCCGCAAUGGGCGAAAGCCUGACGGAGCAACGCCGCGUGAGUGAUGAAGGUCUUCGGAUCGUAAAGCUCUGUUAUUAGGGAAGAACAAAUGUGUAAGUAACUAUGCACGUCUUGACGGUACCUAAUCAGAAAGCCACGGCUAACUACGUG
rnacentral:rRNA from 1 species